rnacentral:rRNA from 1 species
GAUGAACGCUGGCGGCGUGCCUAAUACAUGCAAGUCGAACGCUGAAGGAGGAGCUUGCUCUUCUGGAUGAGUUGCGAACGGGUGAGUAACGCGUAGGUAACCUGCCUGGUAGCGGGGGAUAACUAUUGGAAACGAUAGCUAAUACCGCAUGACAACAGUUAUUGCAUGAUAACUGUUUAAAAGGGGCAACUGCUCCACUACCAGAUGGACCUGCGUUGUAUUAGCUAGUUGGUGAGGUAACGGCUCACCAAGGCGACGAUACAUAGCCGACCUGAGAGGGUGAUCAGCCACACUGGGACUGAGACACGGCCCAGACUCCUACGGGAGGCAGCAGUAGGGAAUCUGCGGCAAUGGGCGGAAGUCUGACCGAGCAACGCCGCGUGAGGGAAGAAGGUUGUCGGAUCGGAGAGCUCGGUUGUAAGAGAAGAACGAGUGUGAGAGUGGAAAGUUCACACUGUGACGGUAACUGACCAGAAAGGGACGGCUAACUACGUG